rnacentral:lncRNA from 10 species
AAGCAGCGACCGGUGCAGCACCAGCUCUGUCUUCCGCAGCAGGCCACUUAAACUAUCUGGUCAGUUUCUUUAUCAACGAAAUGGGAAUGUGCGGCUCAGGGCCCAGUGCUGCAAAUAGGCGGCCAGCGGGCUGUUGGGCAGUUUUGUUUGAGCGGCUUAGCAUGUUGACAGGUCACAGCCCAGCACUUACUCCUGCAUCUCUGUUAUUUAUGGGCAGGGUAGCAGGUCAUUUGAGGUUGUGACCCGUGUUCUGUGAGGCUGAGAACUACUAUUUAUUCUUUCAAUUAUUCAUUCAUUCACACCUUCACACAUUUGUUCUUCCAUAUGCCCGCUGUGUGCCAGGCACUGUUCCGGGCUCUUGGAUUACACUGGCGCAACAUAACUCGGAGAUUCCUGACCUCAUGGAGUUUACAUUCUGCUGGCGGAGACAGAGGAAACGGGAAACAUAAUAAAUACACACGUUAUAUGAUGGGUGAGGGAAUGGGGGGACAGUGGGGCUGCAGUUUGCAUACGGGGUCAGGGAAUUUGAGAAGGUAACAAUUAGACAAGUAAAGGAGUGAGCCAUUUGGACCUGAGAGUCGUUUUCUCAUUCAUUCACUCAUCUAUUGAUUAAUGUAUUAAUCCCUUUAGCAGAUGCUGAUCAUCUGCUGUGUGCGUGAACAGUGCUGGCUAGAGAGGAGAUAGCCCCUGCCUUCAAGGAGCUCCCAGACCAGUGUAUAGAGUCUAUCACAACCCAGUGUGGUCAGGAUGUGUUGUGACCACAGAUGUGUGGAAGUAGGGUGGAGCUGAAUCAGCAAGGGAAGCAUCCUGUUGAUCCAAGGAGGCUUCAGAGAGGUGGCCGUGCUAAGUGGGUUGGGUGGGGCUUGGAUCAGCCCAGCCACACUGACCUUUCCAUUCUGUAAACAUCCUAAGCUCAAACCCACCCCAAGACCUUUACACUUGCUGUUUUCUCUGCCUGAGUUGUUCAGGUCUCAGUCCAGAGGUCCCUUCCCGACGACUCAAAUCGAAAAUACACGCUCACUCUAUCCUAUCACCCUAUUUAUUCAUUUGUUACAUCGCUAUCCGAAUUUGUCCUAGUUGUUUAACUUUAUGUCCCCCCUUGGGUGGUAUGUGAGCUCCAUGAGCACAGGGACCUUGUCUGUCUUUUACAGCACGUGUUCUGGCACCUGGAACGUACUAGAGCAUCAACCAGCCUAUGAAGUGAAUGAGUUAAUGAAUGAAAGAAUGGUGGUGUGUGGCGGUGUUUAGAGCAUCUGUACCAGAGGGACAAUCGUGACAAAUGUCCUCUGGGCAGGAUGCAGAGGGGAGAGGAAGGGAAACCUAGAGGGGUAUGGGUUCCCCUGGCUUCUGGGGAAGAUGACAGAAGGCAGGUGAGGGAAAAGAUUGAGCAGAGGUUUGAGGACAAGAGCUCAGAACUGUAGGUUUCCACACAUGAAAGGUGUUUAUCUCCUUUGAUCUAUUGGACGAUCAUGACAAUCCUGUAAGGAAAGCAGGAAGAGAAUCAUCUUUCCACGUAUCAGGUCAGGAAACUGUGGCUCUGUGGACUAAAGGGACUUGUCCAAGGUCCCACAGAUUGGAAGUCACAGAGUGGAAAUGAGAACCCAAGUCUCCUGGCCUCCAGCCUCUGCUCCCUCCACCAAGUCAUGGUGGAGACACUCAGAAUCUCUCUAGUAGUCAUGGUCCCCUUCUCUCCUCUACCCCACACCCCAUCCAACUAGUUUUCAAGUGCUGAGAAUCCCACCUCUGAAACACCCUGCAAAGCCACAACAGAGGACCCUCAUCACCCCUCACUGCAGCAGCCUCCUAGCUGGUCACCCCACGUUCAGUAUCUUUCCAGCUGCAUGAUCGUCACCAGCUGCCAGAGCUCUACCUAGAACUCAAGUGCGACCACCUCACUCCUCUGCCUGAAACUCCUCUGAAACACACCAACACAUAAAUGUGAUUUAAUUAACUCUGGAUUUGAGAACUCCUACCCAUCCUCCAAAACCUCCAGUCACCCUCACUGUGAAGCCUUCCCUGAUAACCACCUCCUACAACAGAGUCAAACUCCUCUUUUAUACUGCUGUUUAUUUGCCUGUACAGUUAUUUGUGAGACCUCCCUACCAGCGUCAAAGACAGUGCGUGAUGUAUUCUGUUACUUAAAUGGUGCUCCAGAAACAUGUACAAUACAGAACCAGAAGAGUUCUCUUUCUUUUGUUGGGUUUGGUGUCUUUGAUUGGUUUCGUUUUG